GGUGCCAGGUCAGGUGUGCCAGCGUUAGUUACCCCGUUAGGAGCGAUUCUAACACCCGCGUCAUCGGGGGCCGCCGGAACUGAGCCCAGCCCCGUACAGACAGUUUUUCUUACGCUGUGUCACUAAUUAUCGUUUGCAAGAGUCGCCACAACGCCCCACGCAUUCACUGUCGAUGGGGAAAGGCUUUCCUACACUGGCGUUAGCGUAGAUGAUGUAAUAUUGCAGAAAACAAGCUCAAAUGUUCUCGGCGGGCGGGGCGGGGCGGGGCGGGGCAGUUUGACAUUCACCUCGUAACAAAAUUUUCGUCUUCACGGCUAAAAUACAUCUUUCCUGCACUACUCUCAUAUAUCCACGUGUGCACGGGCGUGGAAGGCUGUCGUGGGCGUACAGGCGUGAUCUUAAGUGUCUUCCUUUUUGAGAAAAUAAGGAUAUAUAUUUUUCGUGGCGGGCUGGGACAGUAACCUAGCCCGUAACAUAUUUUUUCUUUUUCACGGCUAAAAUACAUCUUUCCUGCACUAAUCUCAUAUAUCCACGUGUGCACGGGCGUGGAAGGCUGUCGUGGGAAUCAAACUCGGGCUCUCUCAUUUGUGAGCUGAGUGUGCUAAUCACUGCACCACGAAGCCCCCUGCUGGGUUGGGUGAGGGGGGGGGCGGUUAGUUUGCAUAUGUGGACAUUUUUUGUGGUGUGUAGUGGGCUGGUGUAAUAGUGGUUACCACUUGAGCCAGCUAAACGUAAUAUAUGGAGGAGAAAAGAGAAUAAAUGAACCCCUGGACAUACCCACAACUCCUGUGAAAGCCUUGUCAAAUAUGUGUAGGCCUACUUGUGUGCCAACAUAUGUAAGAGCAUGGGCCUAACUUUUCUUCUUCCUCCUCAGGUUUUGGGCGCCCAGCCGUACACGUGAACUAACAGUCUUGGCUUCAGGGCAGGUCGCUAAAAUGAUGGUGGCUCGCGCUAAUUGCAGUUCACUCUAAUUAGCCUGUGGUACCCCGCUGACAACUUCCGAUGACUGAGAAACUGCACCAUCAGCCGCUACACAUUGAGUCCUGCCAGUGAGAAAUGAGUGCAGCCACAUCCCGAGUGUUCCCGUAAUGGCCGUUUGUCUGGCCUUGUGUAACAAAAUGCCAUGGUCUACCAUGUCGAAAGCUUUCACAAAAUCAAGGAGUGUCGAUGAUUUGAUUGAGGCAGUAUUCCUUGGCAAAGUGCAUGACAGCUUUUGCCUGGGUCCUCAUGUCUUCCGCUCCUCCAUACACACACUCCAAAUUCCAGUCUGUUAGCGGAAAGUUUAAGUCUCCAAGGCAGUGCCAGUGUUUGGAGUGCCACUGUGCCUGGCCGUCCAGCGCUGCCCGGCACACGAUGGCAUCCAGCUGCCCACCAUUGUCAGGGAGUGCAUUGACCAGAUAGAGGAGCGGGGUGAGUGUUAUUAUUGUUAUUAUUAUUAUUAUUAUUAUUAUUAUUAUUAUUAUUAUUGUUAUU